rnacentral:rRNA from 1 species
AUUGAACGCUGGCGGCAUGCCUUACACAUGCAAGUCGAACGGUAACAGGUCUUCGGAUGCUGACGAGUGGCGAACGGGUGAGUAAUACAUCGGAACGUGCCCAGACGUGGGGGAUAACGAGGCGAAAGCUUUGCUAAUACCGCAUACGAUCUAAGGAUGAAAGCAGGGGACCGCAAGGCCUUGCGCGUUUGGAGCGGCCGAUGGCAGAUUAGGUAGUUGGUGGGAUAAAAGCUUACCAAGCCGACGAUCUGUAGCUGGUCUGAGAGGACGACCAGCCACACUGGGACUGAGACACGGCCCAGACUCCUACGGGAGGCAGCAGUGGGGAAUUUUGGACAAUGGGCGAAAGCCUGAUCCAGCAAUGCCGCGUGCAGGAUGAAGGCCUUCGGGUUGUAAACUGCUUUUGUACGGAACGAAAAGGCUCUGGUUAAUACCUGGGGCACAUGACGGUACCGUAAGAAUAAGCACCGGCUAACUACGUGCCAGCAGCCGCGGUAAUACGUAGGGUGCGAGCGUUAAUCGGAAUUACUGGGCGUAAAGCGUGCGCAGGCGGUUUUGUAAGACAGAGGUGAAAUCCCCGGGCUCAACCUGGGAACUGCCUUUGUGACUGCAAAGCUGGAGUGCGGCAGAGGGGGAUGGAAUUCCGCGUGUAGCAGUGAAAUGCGUAGAUAUGCGGAGGAACACCGAUGGCGAAGGCAAUCCCCUGGGCCUGCACUGACGCUCAUGCACGAAAGCGUGGGGAGCAAACAGG